UUUAAUGUGAUUGUCCUACACCCAGAGCAAA
rnacentral:piRNA from 1 species